rnacentral:miRNA from 1 species
AAGUGAAAGGAGAAAGAGGAUGGAGAGGGUAGCCUUAACUUCUAAAUGUUCACAAAAAUAUCUAUAUAUUUUGUGAACAUUUAGAAGUUAAGGUUACCCUCUCCAUCCUCUUUCUCCUUUCAUUUAAU